UACGUAGGGUGCAAGCGUUGCCCGGAUUUAUUGGGCGUAAAGGGCGCGUAGGCGGCUCUGCACGUUCGUUGUGAAAUCGCCCGGCUCAACUGGGCGGGGUCAGCGGAUACGGCAGAGCUUGAGCAAGCUAGGGGGCAAUGGAAUUCCUGGUGUAGCGGUGGAAUGCGUAGAUAUCGGGAGGAACACCGGUGGCGAAGGCGGCCAUCUGGGCUGUAACUGACGCUGAGGCGCGAGAGCGUGGGUAGCAAACAGG
rnacentral:rRNA from 1 species